rnacentral:tRNA from 1 species
GUCCUCGUAGCUCAGCUUGGAUAGAGCACCUGCCUCCUAAGCAGGGGGUCGCGCGUUCGAAUCGCGCCGGGGACG